rnacentral:rRNA from 1 species
AGCUCCAAUAGCGUAUAUUAAAGUUGUUGCAGUUAAAAGCUCGUAGUUGGACCUCUGGUCGGAGCAAUGAGGCCACCCCGCAAGGGGCGAGCUCUCGGUGCCUCCGGCCAUCCUUGGGAAGAGCGGCCCUGGCAUUAGGUUGUCGGGGUCGGGAUUCCCAUCGUUUACUGUGAAAAAUUAGAGUGUUCAAGGCAGGCCUAGCGCCGUGAAUACAUUAGCAUGGAAUAAUGAGACAGGACCUUGGCGGUCUAUUUUGUUGGUUUGCGCGCCAAGGUAAUGAUUAAUAGGGAUAGUUGGGGGUAUUCGUAUUCAAUUGUCAGAGGUGAAAUUCUUGGAUUUAUGGAAGACGAACUACUGCGAAAGCAUUUACCAAGGAUGUUUUCA